rnacentral:rRNA from 1 species
GCAAGUCGAGGGGCAGCGGGGCUGAAGCUUGCUUCAGUCGCCGGCGACCGGCGCACGGGUGAGUAACACGUAUCCAACCUUCCGUCUACUCGGGGAUAGCCUUCUGAAAGGAAGAUUAAUACCCGAUGGUAUCCUGGUUGCCCAUGUAUCCAGGAUUAAAGAUUCAUCGGUAGACGAUGGGGAUGCGUUCCAUUAGCUUGUUGGCGGGGUAACGGCCCACCAAGGCUACGAUGGAUAGGGGUUCUGAGAGGAAGGUC